GACGAACGCUGGCGGCGUGCUUAACACAUGCAAGUCGAACGGAAAGGCCCUGCUUUUGUGGGGUGCUCGAGUGGCGAACGGGUGAGUAACACGUGAGUAACCUGCCCUUGACUUUGGGAUAACUUCAGGAAACUGGGGCUAAUACCGGAUAGGAGCUCCUGCUGCAUGGUGGGGGUUGGAAAGUUUCGGCGGUUGGGGAUGGACUCGCGGCUUAUCAGCUUGUUGGUGGGGUAGUGGCUUACCAAGGCUUUGACGGGUAGCCGGCCUGAGAGGGUGACCGGCCCCAUUGGGACUGAGCUACGGCCCAGACUCCUACGGGAGGCAGCGGUGGGGAAUAUUGCACAAUGGGCGGAAGCCUGAUGCAGCAACGCCGCGUGCGGGAUGACGGCCUUCGGGUUGUAAACCGCUUUCGCCUGUGACGAAGCGUGAGUGACGGUAAUGGGUAAAGAAGCACCGGCUAACUACGUG
rnacentral:rRNA from 1 species